rnacentral:RNase_P_RNA from 1 species
UAACCGAGCCGAACGGCCGCGCGAUAUCAUGCCGAAAGGUCUUAUCGUGAGGAAAGUCCGGGCUUCACAGGGCAGGAUAACUGAUAACAUCAGCCGGAGGCGACUCCCGGGAAAGUGCAACAGAGAUAUACCGCCUGUCUCUGACAGGUAAGGGUGGAAAGGCGAGGUAAGAGCUCACCCGGCUCCAUGGUAACAUGGGGGCGCUGUAAACCCUAUCCGAAGCAACACCGUAUG